rnacentral:rRNA from 1 species
GACGUAGGGCGCGAGCGUUGUCCGGAUUUAUUGGGCGUAAAGAGCUCGUAGGCGGCUUGUCGCGUCGUCCGUGAAAACUUGGGGCUCAACCCCAAGCUUGCGGUCGAUACGGGCAGGCUAGAGUUCGGUAGGGGAGACUGGAAUUCCUGGUGUAGCGGUGAAAUGCGCAGAUAUCAGGAGGAACACCGGUGGCGAAGGCGGUUCUCUGGGCAUGUCCUGACGCUGAGGAGCGAAAGUGUGGGGAGCGAACAGG